rnacentral:rRNA from 1 species
AGCUAUGGCCAUGUGGGCCGUUGGACACACCCAACCCCUCGAUCUCAGAAGUUAAGCAACGCACAGUCCGGACAGUUCUUGGAUGGGAGACCACCCAAGGACGGCCGGAUGCUGUAGCCA